rnacentral:rRNA from 1 species
UACAGAGGGGGCAAGCGUUGUUCGGAAUUACUGGGCGUAAAGGGCGCGUAGGCGGCCUGCUAAGUCGAACGUGAAAUCCCUGGGCUCAACCCAGGAACUGCGUCCGAUACUGGUUGGCUUGAAUCCGGGAGAGGGAUGUGGAAUUCCAGGUGUAGCGGUGAAAUGCGUAGAUAUCGGGAGGAAUACCAGUGGCGAAGGCGGCUGCCUGGCCUGUUCUUGACGCUGAGGCGCGAAAGCUGGGGGAGCAAACGGG